AUUGAACGCUGGCGGCAUGCCUAACACAUGCAAGUCGCACGAAUGGCGGACGGGUGAGUAAUGUCUGGAAAACUGCCCGAUGGAGGGGGAUAACUACUGUAAACGGUAGCUAAUACCGCAUAACAUCGUAUGUGCCCAGAUGGGAUUAGCUAGUAGGUGGGGUAACGGCUCACCAAGGCGACGAUCCCUAGCAGGUCUGAGAGGGUGACCAGCCACACUGGAACUGAGACACGGUCCAGACGCCUACGUGAGGCAGCAGUGGGGAAUAUUGCACAAUGGGCGCAAGCCUGAUGCAGCCAUGCCGCGUGUAUGAAGAAGGCCUUCGGGUUGUAAAGUACUUUCGGCAGGGAAGCGUUACUCGCAGAAGAAGCACCGGCUAACUCCGUGCCAGCAGCCGCGGUAAUUC
rnacentral:rRNA from 1 species